rnacentral:rRNA from 1 species
UACAGAGGGGGCAAGCGUUGUUCGGAAUUACUGGGCGUAAAGGGCGCGUAGGCGGCCUUCUAAGUCGAACGUGAAAUCCCCGGGCUCAACCCGGGAACUGCGUCCGAUACUGGAAGGCUUGAAUCCGGGAGAGGGAUGCGGAAUUCCAGGUGUAGCGGUGAAAUGCGUAGAUAUCAUUUGGAACGCCAAUGGUGAAAACAGGUAGCUGGGGCUGUGCUGACACUGAGACACGAAAGCCAGGGGAGCGAACGGG